AGUCAGGAUCAUAUACUAAAGUUGGUCUUGUAGAUUUAUUAAUUCAACUAAAUGAUCUGAUAUGAUUCAUAACAGUUUAGCUAAUAGAAGAUAUAAUAUUACGAAAAAUAAAAUAAAAAAUUCUCACUUCAGUAAUUGUAUUUUGUGUCUGUUAAUGAGCGACUGUCUUCAGGUAAAUGAUCUGGAGUGUGUUUGCAUAUUGAUCAGAUGCUUCAGUGCUCUGAGAGUGUUUAUAGUGCUGUGAGUUUAACACUUCAUCACUGACACACACAACAAUCUUCAUCAACAUGACCUUCAUCAUCAUCUUCAUCUGGACUCUCACAGCGUUUGCUCAAGAGUGUAGAGGACAGAUCACCGUCACUCAGAGUCCCUCAACGACAGCAGCUCGACCAGAAGAAACAGUCAAAAUCAACUGUAAAACCAGCACAGAUGUGGCUGAAUAUAGUGCGCCACGUUACUAUUUCAGCUGGUACUUACAGAAACCUGGAGAAGCUCCUAAACUCCUGAUUUAUUUAGCAAACACUCUCCAGUCAGGAACUCCAUCUAGAUUCAGUGCCAGUGCGUCAUCUGCAAGAGAUUUCACUCUGACCAUCAGUGGAGUCCAGACUGAAGAUGCUGGACAUUAUUACUGUCAGAGUUACCACAGUGGUCCAGUGUUCACACAGUGA